AUUUUGCGAUCUCACCCUUGAAAUCAAGACAUAAUGAAUUCUGCGUAAUGGUCGAAUCAAAUGAAGCCAACUGAAAAAAAAAAAAAAAAAAGGUGAUUAAGAGAUAAUGUUGAGGACAUUUCCUUUUUGAUUAGGUAGUUUCGAGAUGUAUUAAAAGUUGUGAUUUAACUUAGUGUCACCUUUUCUUCUCCCCUUUUACUUUAUAUCAUAUCCAAUACUAUGAUGAAGGUUCUACGUCUCUCUAUUUGACCCUUUCUAAGU
rnacentral:lncRNA from 1 species